CGAAACACACACACACACACAGAUAAAGGUGACGUGAUAUCCCUCACUUUCUCUUUUUCGGUAUCGCGUGUGUGUCUACCGAAGCAGAAAAUACGCGCAUGUGAAGCAAGGCAACCAUCACCUCACUCGUCUUAUAGCCGCCAGCGCAACUCGCCUUUAACGUCGGCUCCUCUGUCGCGCUGUGCGGUUUCGGGACACUGUCGUGCGUGUAUGGGUGCGUGUGGCACUCUCGCCUCUGUGCGCUGAGCGAAUUUUUUUUUCGGUUGCCCCUCUGAUGGUGACUGAGCCACCUCAUCUGCUGCUUGAUCGCACACCAGCAAUAGACACUAGGCAGACCGCUCGCCUCAGCGCAUCGGUGAUGCGUCUCUCACACACACACGCCCACCCACAACCACACACCAGAGAAGAGAUAAAAGUACAUUUUUAUGCAUAGACGGGAGCAUAGAGCUACCACAUUUCUUUUUUUUUUUCUCCAAACUUCCUCAUCACUGAGCGCCCGCUUGUUUCGAAAGCAGAGCUUGCGCGAGCGUACGCUUGCUUUCCUACAUCGUAGUCUUUCCGGCAUCUGACGCUUCGUUUUGUGCCUGCUACGACAUCAGACUUCUGCACACCGACGAACUCGCUUCCCUUUCUCUCUCCCUGCGGUCGCAUAUCUAUCCGGCAGCGGUGUCGCGCUGAUGUCCGGCACGUUCCGCUGCCGCCAUCACCAUUUUCAUUCUUGUCGAGUGUGCGCUACGAGCGUCAGCAUCGCUUCCAAUGCACGCCGCCGCGCCGCUGCAGAGAGACAUGGAGGAGGCUCCCUCCACACCUCUGACACCCGCGCUUACCACCACCAUUAGCGGUGUAUUUUCGUCGGUCAAACGACCGUAUCACUCGACGGACGACACGCUGCCAUCUCCGCCACCGCCGCCCUUCUGUUCCCAUGAAGCACAAGCUCUCUUCCGUUCCGCGCGAUCCGUGACACCCUUGCUUCAGCGGUGGAUGCUGUCGGAGAACACGGGCGAGGCUGAGUGGGGCGAGCACGCUAGCGACCCGAGGACGCUCGAAGCUGGAGGGCGAUCGGCGCUUGGCUCUUGGGAUGUCCAAGGCCCCUCUCAACAUCGUCAAGCUGCAGUGCUAGCCUCGCCAGCUCCAGCGGAUGACUCUAUCGAUGCUGCAUUCUCCUCUACGCUGGCCGCUGCCGAUGAAAGGAAGGGCAGCCCGGGUGCACCACCGACUAUCAGCGUGACUGCCCACAGUGCCUUGUCGCACACUUCCGCAGCUGCGCGCAUGACGCGUGAGAGAGAAGAGGCGGUAUCAUCGCAGCUGUCGCAGUCUCUUCCGACGUGUGCGGUGCCCCCUUCGAGGGAGGCCCGGCCGAAGCCGUCUGAUUUGCUGCGGAGUCCCGCGGUCAAGGCGCCGCCUUCCCCAGCAAAGACUGCAUCGAGCCCGACCUCGGGUAGCGCGUCACCGGCGACGAAAUCCACCAGCAGCGCCGAUCGGGCGACCCGGUCAACAGCGACGCUGAAUGUCCCGGUGGAGUUUCCGCAGCUGCAGCCGCAGCAGGCAGAGGAGGCGACCACUUCACACCUUGCUCUACGCGAGGGGGCUUGGAUGGAAAAUGAGGAGCUGCGGCAACAACUGGGGGCGCUUCUGCGAAUCCAAGAGGAGCUGGCGCGCCGAUACCAGCAGCGUGAGGCAGCGUCUGCACGUGUUGAGGAGCGCCACGCAUCGGAAAAAAAGCUACUUGCACUGGAAAAGGAGCAGGCUCUCGCGCAGCUCAGCCAGGUGUACGAGGAGCAGCUGCAGAUGCUGCGGAAUGCCGAGAUGUCGGCGCAGUCGAAUGCUGACGCCUUGGCUGCGGAGGUGGUCACUCUGCGGAGGGAACUGUCGGAGGUCCAAGAAGAGCUGCGGAAGUCAUUGGAGCAGCAGUUGGAGUGCCAGCGCCAGUCAGAUGAGGCGAUAACCGCGCAGGCAAGAAUAUCAGCAGAUUGCGAGACUUUUCGAACAGCAGCAGCUGGCGUGAAACCUGAGCGCGCAGCCGAAGUCACUGCUCAGCUAGCGGAGCUGCAAAGGAAGCUGUGGAUCACCGAGGAGCGUGCUGCCGCCGCCGAGCUUGCGCUCCAAUCACUCUGCUCUCAGCUAACUGCCGCCGCGGAGACCACGCUAGCGGUUGCAGGCGCUGACGUACAGGUAGGACACACGCUUGGCCGAGAUGUGACUGCAGACGCAAAGGCUGUGCACUGCUUGUCUACUUCAGAAUUCUUCAGCAAAGGUGCACAGGCAACGGCAGCACCGGUUCUUUUUGACGAGGCUGCGGUGCUGAAUGCAGUGCUUUCAUCCAUGCAGGACAUUGGCGUGAGCGCUGCUUUCUCCUCCCCGCUGCGGGCGUCCUCGACGACGGGCGGAGAAGACGUGGCUGAGCUGUCGCGCUCAGGCUCCAAUGGCACUUCGAUGCUCGAAACUCCCUUUUCACAGCACCAGCUCACUAAACCCGUUUUGCCGCCAUCUGCUGACGCGUGCGGCGCUCCCAUACGGGCUCGUCUAUCAAACGCCGGGCUCUUGCGCUGUCGUCAGCAUCGACAGCUGCUGCAAGUCGUGCUGGCACGCGUGUCGGAUGGGUACCAGCGAGUCGCACGAGAGGCCGCAGCAGAUGCGCGCGCAGCCAAGGCGGAGCACGUUCUUUCCAAUGAAGUCAAGGAGCUGCGCGCACGACUCGAGCAAUCUCAGCAGCUGCUGCUGUCGCACGAGCGCGGCCGACAAGACGAAGACUCACGCACUCAUGGAAGGGACGUUGCAGGAUGCCAGACGACACAAUCCAUCCUGCAACGCCGCUCUUCUGUCGGCGUAGUCACGGAUGCGGUGGACGCGUUCAGCGUCAAGGCACCCGAAGCUGCUGCCGCUGCGGCAUUGAAGCAUGGGGGAGCAGUAGAGAAGGCCGCGUAUGACGAGGCUCUUGCUGAGGCACAGCGACAACUCCGCCACGAGCGCAGCUACAUUUGCCGGCUACAAAAGGAGGUGCAGUCUUUGCGCAGCUCCAGCUGCGCGACAACCGUGCUUGAGAGCCUCACAAAUACAGUGCAGAACAUGCGUGUGGCUGUGUGCCGGCUGGUACGGGACGCCGUCGCCGAUGUGCAGCGGAUCUUCGAGCAGGAGCCGCAGCGGCUCCAGGCAGCAGCGACCGACGUUCGUGGCUGCGCGAGCGAGACGGUAUGGCGAGAUGACGCAGGGCAGGUCCUUUGCGGACGAUGGCGCGCCAUGCAUGAAGAAGGUAGGCAUCACUUGAACAACAGUUUGCCUGCUCGCGAGACGGACCAUGUGCACUUCGCGGCGACCGCACUGCUUUCUCCCCCCCUGCUCGAUUUCGCUUUUGUGCGCGCUGUUCACAAGUCCAUCUUGCGCGCGGAGGCUUAUGUUCAGCAGGUCAGCGCCACACUCCUGAGGGACUACCAGCGAGUUUUCUCCGACGCACACGCCUUGUUGGGCACCCACAAACAGGACCAAGAUACGGCCUACACGACCUGCGCCCCUCCUCGUUCCCAACGGAUGUCAUUCUCCGCAAGGGACACUGUGCACAACUCAUUGAGCGGAGCUCAUGGGGCUUAUCGGGAGGUGCCGUUGAAGCGGCUUGCCGAGGGAAGCGGCACUUCUUUUGGCGUUGAUUCGCCCUCGCCGUCGCCAUCAACUGCUUUUUCCGGAGCCACCAGGAAACGAACCGCACAACAGCAGAGAGUGUACGCGGAGAUGCGUGAUCUUCUCCAGCGAUCAGCGCCUUCCCACGACGGCAUGACAGCAUUUGCAGCGUCACCCUUGCAUCACUCGCCUGAUGGGUCUCGUUGGCUUUCAGGAACUGGACCACUGCAGGCUUGCCCAUCGGGCAUGAACGUCUCUCCUACUUCUCAGCCAUCCCCCUACGUCGCUGCCUAUGUCACCAAGCCCGCCGAGCUCCGCCGAGCAGCUUCAUCUUGCAUGCCACUCGACUCGGCAGCAAAGUCGGUGGCCGGCUCUGCGGAUGCGCGGCUAGGCUUUGCGCACUUGGCAGAAGCGACGCAGGAACUGCGCAAUGUGGGGCGGGUGCUGGACAAUAUCCGAGACGCAGAGGAGACACGCGAGGCACGGCGACAGCAGCGUCUGCAGGAUUGGCAGGACGCCAUCGUGGAGGCGGUGGACGGCGUGCGGGAGCGAAUCGAAGAUGCUUUGACGCUUCUGCGGCGUCCCGGGGCGGGGGCAGGGACUUUUGCGUGCGACACGAUGAGCCAUGCGAAAGACGCCCACGUUGCGUCCGCACUGAGGGCCGCGUCUGCUGAUAUCGGCACUGAUCCCGCAGACGACGAACUAGAGCGAGCACGGCAGGGACAAAACGCGCAGCUAUCAGCCAGUCAUGAGAUGAGCCCAUUCGUGCCACACCGCGGGCCAUCGCGUCUCUCCGAGGUGCUGUCCGGAAAGAUGCGCUUAAAGGCGGACGGCGGCACUCUUCUCUCCGCUUGAGCAUGCUUGCGCGCGUGUGCCUGUGAGGCCAGGCGCGCACUUUUUUCGAGUGGCGAGGUGAACAGGAAAAAAAAACGAGGAGCAGCGGCAACGGCAGCCGUGUUUUGCAUCUUUGCUUGUGUGCCACCUCUGCUCAGCGAGAGCCCUCUUCCUCCUGCCUCAUCAGCGCUCCUUUCACGGCGUUCUCCCAUCCUUUUCGUGCACGCGCUGCUCUCCAAAUGCAAUCUUUACCACUGUUUUUGUUUUUCUUCGCUGCGCGGGCAUACUCCCGCCCUCGCCCGCCCUCUCUUUUCGGCUUCGUCCGUUGCAGCAUGCCCGUGAACGGCUCCCGUCUCUCUUUUCUCGUGCCCUUUCGCGUGUUGUGCGCCGCCCAUCUCUUUGCGCCUUCUCCUUUCUCAGAGAAGACCAACAACGCCGCUCGCACCUCUCUGGUGCCCCCCGUGGAUGCACGAGGGAGCAUGAAAGCCCCCCUAGCUUCGCUUUUCCCGUAGCCUUGUUGCCCAGUCGAUGCAG
rnacentral:misc_RNA from 1 species